UGGAGAAGCACACACCUUCUCGUCGGCGUCGUCGCCCCUAAGCAGCGGGAGCAGCAGACAACUCCCCCGCUAAAUCCUCCUCUUUGCCCCCACCGACAGCAACAACAACAGAAGGAGAAGAGAAACGAACUGAGGAAGGGAGAACAGAAGAGGAGGCAACGAACGCCUAAUACUGAGGUAUCACGACGACUGAUGCCUGAUGGAGAAGGCUGUGGCGCAGACGCUGAAGGUGGUGAGGUCCGGCCGGAAGUCAACGGUGACCAUCUCCAAGAACACGCGCUGCAGCAACUUCAUCUUCAAGUUGAUGGCGAAGAAGAGGAGGUAGAGGUUCUAGAGCAGGUUGUCGCCGGCGUUGCGGCAGCCGAGGCACCGGGACCGCCAGCUUCUUCUGCUUCUACAGUGGCAGCGGAGGAUCCACCUGCGCUCAUAGGCAAGGAGGCGGCAGGAGCAGCGGGCAAGGACGGCGGCACAAGUGGCUCACGAGAAGCAGGCGAUGGAGACCUUGGCGAGGAGCGCGAGGGAGGAGGGCAGCAGCCCCGGCGCCGGCAGUGA
rnacentral:lncRNA from 2 species